UUUAAGUGUUAAGUAAAUUAAUUGGCAGUCAGAGCCAAUAAAAUCAUCAUCAUACCUUAAAAACUGGUCUUGAUAGAUGAUUUGUAAUGGGUGUUUUAUAUUCUGUGUCCAAAAAAUGCUCAGGAACAGAAGAAAAAUUGUUGGCACCAAAAUGUGGAGUUGGAUAAAUGAAUAUUUUUAAGGAACAUAACCUAAAAUUAUUACAUGAUAUCCGACUACAGUUGAAGUCUUCAGCGAGGCUGUACAAAUAACCCUCAUACUAGAAAGUGGUGGAAAACAAAAAUUUUAAGUGUUAAGUAAAUUAAUUGGCAGUCAGAGCCAAUAAAAUCAUCAUCAUACCUUAAAAACUGGUCUUGAUAGAUGAUUUGUAAUGGGUGUUUUAUAUUCUGUGUCCAAAAAUUGCUCAGGAACAGUACAAAAAUCGUUGGCACCAAAUUGUGGAGUUGGAUAAAUGAAUAUUUUUAAGGUUAUGGGACAUUUAUCAACCCCAAUAUUUGAGAUACAGACAAUUUAGUUCUGA